rnacentral:lncRNA from 1 species
ACUGACCAUGAAAGCAAUCACUAAAAUUCUAACACAAAUGUAAGGGGGCAAUGAUCAUAAGCAGUUUAGAAAAAUGGAAAUAAAAAGUGAACUAAAUAGGGAACACAAAAAACAAACAGAAUAAGAAAAUAAGCUAAAAUGAAAUAAAACAAAAGUAAGAGGAAAAAUGUAAACACGAAUUAAGAAGAAGAAAACAAAAUAAGAAAGCAAAAUCGUAAUAAAUAAGUAACAAAUAAAAAUAAUAAGAAUAAGAAUAAUGAUAAUAAAGAAAAGAGAGGGGCAAAAGUGAUGGACCGACGGUGGGAUGACCAGAGAAGACGGAGGCGACGAUGAUGGGGAAAGGACGACGGCGUAGGGCUGGUGAGGAGGAGUUGUGGUCAUGAGAGAAAGAAAGGAGGGGAGAGAAAGAAUGGGAGGAAGGAAAUAAAUAAAAGGGAGAGGAAAGGGCAGCUCGGUGGGGCGUGCGUAUGGGUGCGGCUAGUGGUCGUG